GUUAUGCAUGGUGCUUUACCUGUCUGCUAUUCUAACUCUUGCUGGCUCCUAUGUGUUUUUACCAAGUUACUGAAGCCUUGAUGUGAAUACCUUUCUCCUACUCAUUUCUUGGGACUUAGAUCUCUUCCAAUGUCUUGGAUUCUUUUUAAGUUGGGAGAAUAUGCUUUUCACUCCAUCAAGUAGAUUAGAAUUCCUGGAUCUAAGGAUCAAUUCUGAAGCUGAAACCCCCAUCCUUCC